UAACAGGCAGAAACCUCCAGCAGGACCAGACUCAUCUGCCUCGACUGAAUUGGGGUUGGAAAGAGGGAAAUGAAGAGAGAGAACACGUGUGCCAUCGCAAAGCCAACAAAGAGGCAAAGCUGACCAGGAUCCUCUAUUGCAGGAAUAGUGGUACUACAAAAAUUACUCCAUAAUAAUCCACGUCCAAUCAUUGGAGGAAGAAAUGAGUGGGCACAGGAAUAAACCAGAGGAACUGGAAUUUACACAGUGUGAUAUUGUGUACAUAAGAGUGAGACAAACAGUGACGUUUGACCUCUUACAAGUGGAUAAUUGUUUCAGAGAAGUGUUUCAUGGUGGUCCAGUGAGAUUGGCUUUUGACCAGGGCUCAGAGUGACCCAGACCUCUGAACCACCAACACUUCAUCCAGUUCAUCAAGUUCAUCCUCCAGUCCAAGUGGAAACUGGUGCCAAAUAUGGAGAAUUUUUUAGAAUUUAACUUUAAUAGACCGACAGAAACCUCACAAAAAAGGCCUCUGGCUUUCAUUUACAUGAAGACGUAUUAAAUCCUGUUAUCCAGACUGGACAUGUAGAGUCCAGCUUUGGCAACUAAAAACACAAGUAUUGUCUGAUGGGAGAUGUGGGUUGCUUUCUGGAGCUUGUCCAAUUGUCUUUCUUGAAUUUGUUUUCUGUGCCCAGUUGUUCAAUAGUGAUCACAAAGAUUAAA